rnacentral:rRNA from 1 species
CAUGCAAGUCGAACGAGCGAGAGAGAGCUUGCUUUCUCGAGCGAGUGGCGAACGGGUGAGUAACGCGUGAGGAACCUGCCUCAAAGAGGGGGACAACAGUUGGAAACGACUGCUAAUACCGCAUAAGCCCACGACCCGGCAUCGGGUAGAGGGAAAAGGAGCAAUCCGCUUUGAGAUGGCCUCGCGUCCGAUUAGCUAGUUGGUGAGGUAACGGCCCACCAAGGCGACGAUCGGUAGCCGGACUGAGAGGUUGAACGGCCACAUUGGGACUGAGACACGGCCCAGACUCCUACGGGAGGCAGCAGUGGGGAAUAUUGCACAAUGGGGGAAACCCUGAUGCAGCGACGCCGCGUGGAGGAAGAAGGUCUUCGGAUUGUAAACUCCUGUUGUUGAGGAAGAUAAUGACGGUACUCAACAAGGAAGUGACGGCUAACUACGUGCCAGCAGCCGCGGUAAAACGUAGGUCACAAGCGUUGUCCGGAAUUACUGGGUGUAAAGGGAGCGCAGGCGGGAAGACAAGUUGGAAGUGAAAUCCAUGGGCUCAACCCAUGAACUGCUUUCAAAACUGUUUUUCUUGAGUAGUGCAGAGGUAGGCGGAAUUCCCGGUGUAGCGGUGGAAUGCGUAGAUAUCGGGAGGAACACCAGUGGCGAAGGCGGCCUACUGGGCACCAACUGACGCUGAGGCUCGAAAGUGUGGGUAGCAAACAGGAUUAGAUACCC